rnacentral:tRNA from 1 species
GCCUGAGUGGCUCAGUGGUUGAGCAUCUGUGUUUGACUCAGGUCGUGAUCCCGGGGUCCUGGGAUCGAGUCCCACAUCAGGCU